rnacentral:rRNA from 1 species
GACGAACGCUGGCGGCGUGCUUAACACAUGCAAGUCGAGCGGUAAGGCCCUUUCGGGGGUACACGAGCGGCGAACGGGUGAGUAACACGUGGGUGACCUGCCCUCAGCUCUGGGAUAAGCCUGAGAAACCGGGUCUAAUACUGGAUAUGACUCCAUGACGCAUGUUGUGGGGUGGAAAGCCUUGUGCGGCUGAGGAUGGGCCCGCGGCCUAUCAGCUUGUUGGUGGGGUGAUGGCCUACCAAGGCGACGACGGGUAGCCGGCCUGAGAGGGCGACCGGCCACACUGGGACUGAGACACGGCCCAGACUCCUACGGGAGGCAGCAGUGGGGAAUCUUGCGCAAUGGGCGAAAGCCUGACGCAGCGACGCCGCGUGAGGGAUGACGGCCUCGGUUGUAACC